UUCCAGACUCCUACGGGAGGCAGCAGUGGGGAAUAUUGCACAAUGGGGGAAACCCUGAUGCAGCGACGCCGCGUGAGCGAUGAAGUAUUUCGGUAUGUAAAGCUCUAUCAGCAGGGAAGAAAAUGACGGUACCUGACUAAGAAGCCCCGGCUAACUACGUGCCAGCAGCCGCGGUAAUACGUAGGGGGCAAGCGUUAUCCGGAUUUACUGGGUGUAAAGGGAGCGUAGACGGCGGUGCAAGCCAGGGGUGAAAGCCCGGGGCCCAACCCCGGGACUGCCCUUGGAACUGCAUGGCUGGAGUGCGGGAGGGGCAGGCGGAAUUCCUGGUGUAGCGGUGAAAUGCGUAGAUAUCAGGAGGAACACCGGCGGCGAAGGCGGCCUGCUGGACUGUAACUGACGUUGAGGCUCGAAAGCGUGGGGAGCAAACAGGAUUAGAUACCCGCGUAAC
rnacentral:rRNA from 1 species